GCUGGGCAUGGUGGCGGGUGCCUGUAAUCCCAGCUACUCAGGAGGCUGAGGCAGGAGAAUUGCUUGAACCCAGGAGGCGGAGGUUGCAGUGAGCCAAGAUAGUGCCACUGCACUCCAGCCUGAGCAACAGAGCAAGACUCUGUCUCAA
ensembl:misc_RNA Metazoa_SRP Metazoan signal recognition particle RNA